rnacentral:rRNA from 1 species
GACGAACGCUGGCGGCGUGCUUAACACAUGCAAGUCGAACGGAAAGGCCCUGCUUUUGUGGGGUGCUCGAGUGGCGAACGGGUGAGUAACACGUGAGUAACCUGCCCUUGACUUUGGGAUAACUUAGGGAAACGGGGGCUAAUACCGGAUAGGAGCUCCGGCGGCAUGGGGGGGGUGGGAAAGUUUCGGCGGUUGGGGAUGGACUCGCGGCUUAUCAGCUUUUUGGUGGGGUAGUGGCUUACCAAGGCUUUGACGGGUAGCCGGCCUGAGAGGGUGACCGGCCACAUUGGGACUGAGAUACGGCCCAGACUCCUACGGGAGGCAGCAGUGGGGAAUAUUGCACAAUGGGCGGAAGCCUGAUGCAGCAACGCCGCGUGCGGGAUGACGGCCUUCGGGUUGUAAACCGCUUUCGCCUGUGACGAAGCGUGAGUGACGGUAAUGGGUAAAGAAGCACCGGCUAACUACGUG